AGGAUUUUUUGUUCCUAUAUCCACUGGCCAUGGUUAGCAACCUUCUUUAGAAUAUCUCUGAAUGAAAUGAUACAUUUGCUUUGGGGCCCAGGUGGGACUCAGACCUCUUUUUCCGUAGACUGGCUCUAUGGAGAAGCACAACUGCAUCGCUCCAGUGGAGUUCACCUAGCAGCAGAUCCCUGGAAGAAAGACCUGUGCUGUGGUGAAGAAUUUUGCUGCAACUCCGUGUGCUUCUCUUCACUCCCAUUGAAUGCUUUGCUGACCUGCAUCUCCAUGUUGCUCAACACCCCACGAGGCUGCACGGGCUCUCCCUGGCGCUCUGGAGUACAAUGUCUAUCCCACCUGAGCGGAGGGGACUCUAUCCCCAACUGAACUGUGCUGGAGUCCUUGCCCCACGGAAGUUUUGGGAGCGCAUGGGGAAAUGAUGGGAAAACUGAAAGAUUUUUCACCGCUGCAGUAAAUGUGCUCCCAUCAGCCCAGUGCAGCAGCAUCAAGACUUGGGGAGUAGAUGUGAUUCCCACGAUUAACCAAGUCAUUUAUUUGAUGAUGAGACAGAGAAGACCCUCAAGAACAGAACCCAAGCAAGGAAACAACCCUGGAGGGAGGGAAGUGUCAGCUGCCUGGUUUUAAGGUUUCUCUUUCUGUUUACCCAGCAACCCAAGGCUUGCUCAGGUGGGGACCCUCCACUCUUUCACAAUCAAGAGCUGAGAAGGGUCACGUAAGCCAGAGAAUUACAAGGCAGCCCCAGCUCGCUCUUCAGAUUGAAGUGGUUUUAGAAUAAUUUGGUCUUGCUCCUAGUCUAAGGUUUCAUUUUUUAAUGCAUGUGCCUGAGCAAGCAGCUAGCUGUUAGGACACGGAGAUGCUGCUGCAUGGGUCUUCUGCAGCACAAAAAGUAGAUGUGGUGCAGGUUUGCUGAUACACAGGUGAGUGCAUGCAGAGGCACUGAAAACUGGACCUCUGGUGAAACCCAACGCAUUGGGUGAGACAACUCAAGUAUGGAUGUGGUCUGGCUUUGUUGAUCCACUGAAGCCAAAAUAGGUGGGUUAUCUCACUAUAAGCAUCCCAGACUUCAAUAUAGGCAUGAUGCCACCGAGCCAGGAGAUGAUGUGACACUAUACUGGGCCCAGAGGAUAUGCUGGUUUGGGUCUACUACACCUCAGAGACUCCGGCUCAACACUCAGUGGGAUGAAACUGGGCUCCGCCUACAAGCCCCACAGAGCCAGCACCAGAAUCAAAGAUACAUGGCUUUGCAUGUGGUAGUUGAAUUAUUUUGACUUUUAUAUUCACUGUACACGAUUAAUAAUCUAUUACUAAAGACUGAGGUUUGUGGCUUGCAGGGCUCUAGCAGUUAGUUGGUUUAGAAGACCCAGGAGGUGCUAUUUUGUGCAGAAGUAGCAGGACCCUGCAGGUUGCCAGCACAAUUUCAUGUCCACAUAAAAUAUUCAGGUGAACUCCAAACUGAUUAUUCUAAAGCCUUUCUUCUCAUAAGAAAAUGAUGCUAUUUCUUUUGUUUGUUUUAAAGAGAGGUAUUAUAGAAGUC